rnacentral:tRNA from 1 species
GCCUGGGUGGCGGAAUUGGUAGACGCGCCGGACUCAAAAUCCGGUUCCCGAUGAGGGAGUGUGGGUUCGAUUCCCACCCCAGGUA